UUUAAAAAUCAGGAUAUUUCACAUAAAAAUCCAGCUUUCCAGCUUCUCUGAAAAAUUCAGAAGCCCUGGCAGUCCCCGUCUGUGUUCCCAUGAGGCCACUCUGCUCCCGAGCCUCGCGGCCGGCCCUGUCCUCCUCCUGCAGCCUGGCCCACUUACCUCACCCACGAGCGAGCACCCUCAGAACAGCAGGAUUCGGGACCCCCGGGCGUGUGGUCACAAGUGGACAGGAGCCUGGCCACCAGUGUGUGCGCGCAUGACUGUGUGUGCGAGGGCUGCGUGUGUACAAUGCGUGUGUGCACGUGUAAGGCAAAGCUGUGCAUGAGGCAAACCUAUGUGGCAGUGUGUUCACGAAAGCCGGCAUGUGUGUGUGAGAAGUGUUCGUGGGGGCAUGGGUGUGCAGACGUGCGUGCACGUGUGUGUACGUGGGGUGUGGCCACGUGGAGUGUGUGAACCACUGUGGUCUGGCGUGCUCUGCACAGGGGCCUCCUCCGGCCUUCGAGGGGAGUCAGGUUCCCGGCUUCUGGCUGGGCUGCCUUGCGGGAUUUAUUUCUGUCUCGGUGCCCACUAGAGGCCUGAGUAAUGGGAACAUUUAAAGAGAACCAGUAAAUUCGAACAGAGGGGGCCGGCUGACCGGGAAACGGCCCAGACGCCCUGCCCAGCCCGCGGCUGCGGGAGCCCGAGGCCAGGCCUGAGCACAGGAAGGAGGUGGCUGUGGGGCCGGCGUGCGCACCCACGUGUUCUGCAGGCUGCUCCUUUCUAUCCCAGCCCGCCUGCGGGUCCCCGGGCCAACAGUGGGCAUCCUGACAGCGUGGCUCCACUCAGCAGGUGUUCGGGGCAGGUCCAGAGCUGAGGGUCCUGAACUCCAGGGCCCAAAGGGUGCUGUCCCAGCCAAGCCACAGCGGGUCCGCGGCCCAGAGGUUCUGUGUGCGCAGUCUCCAGAACAGACGUCCAAUUACUCCAACACGGUCUGCUGAAAAGACAUCUUUCCCUCAUCGAAUUCAUGCUGCACCCUGACCACGCUCACCUGCCAGCCCUGAGCACUGUUCCACGGCCUUCCCACAGUACCAGUCUUGACUACCGGAGCUGCACACACUUCAUUGAUCAACUUUUUAUGGCAAUUUCUGUCAACAUUACAAUGUGUCCUCACCCACCUUUUCACCGGAUCUGGCACUGUGUGACC